rnacentral:rRNA from 1 species
AAAUCCGGUACUCGUUAAGGCUGAGCUGUGAUGGGGAGAAGACAUUGUGUCUUCGAGUCGUUGAUUUCACACUGCCGAGAAAAGCCUCUAGAUAGAAAAUAGGUGCCCGUACCGCAAACCGACACAGGUAGUCAAGAUGAGAAUUCUAAGGUGAGCGAGCGAACUCUCGUUAAGGAACUCGGCAAAAUGACCCCGUAACUUCGGGAGAAGGGGUGCUCUUUAGGGUUAACGCCCAGAAGAGCCGCAGUGAAUAGGCCCAAGCGACUGUUUAUCAAAAACACAGGUCUCUGCUAAACCGUAAGGUGAUGUAUAGGGGCUGACGCCUGCCCGGUGCUGGAAGGUUAAGAGGAGUGGUUAGCUUCUGCGAAGCUACGAAUCGAAGCCCCAGUAAACGGCGGCCGUAACUAUAACGGUCCUAAGGUAGCGAAAUUCCUUGUCGGGUAAGUUCCGACCCGCACGAAAGGCGUAACGAUUUGGGCACUGUCUCAACGAGAGACUCGGUGAAAUCAUAGUACCUGUGAAGAUGCAGGUUACCCGCGACAGGACGGAAAGACCCCGUGGAGCUUUACUGUAGCCUGAUAUUGAAAUUCGGCACAGCUUGUACAGGAUAGGUAGGAGCCUUUGAAACGUGAGCGCUAGCUUACGUGGAGGCGCUGGUGGGAUACUACCCUAGCUGUGUUGGCUUUCUAACCCGCACCACUUAUCGUGGUGGGAGACAGUGUCAGGCGGGCAGUUUGACUGGGGCGGUCGCCUCCUAAAAGGUAACGGAGGCGCUCAAAGGUUCCCUCAGAAUGGUUGGAAAUCAUUCAUAGAGUGUAAAGGCAUAAGGGAGCUUGACUGCGAGACCUACAAGUCGAGCAGGGUCGAAAGACGGACUUAGUGAUCCGGUGGUUCCGCAUGGAAGGGCCAUCGCUCAACGGAUAAAAGCUACCCCGGGGAUAACAGGCUUAUCUCCCCCAAGAGUUCACAUCGACGGGGAGGUUUGGCACCUCGAUGUCGGCUCAUCGCAUCCUGGGGCUGUAGUCGGUCCCAAGGGUUGGGCUGUUCGCCCAUUAAAGCGGUACGCGAGCUGGGUUCAGAACGUCGUGAGACAGUUCGGUCCCUAUCCGUCGUGGGCGUAGGAAAUUUGAGAGGAGCUGUCCUUAGUACGAGAGGACCGGGAUGGACAUACCUCUGGUGUACCAGUUGUCGUGCCAACGGCAUAGCUGGGUAGCUAUGUGUGGACGGGAUAAGUGCUGAAAGCAUCUAAGCAUGAAGCCCCCCUCAAGAUGAGAUUUCCCAACUUCGGUUAUAAGAUCCCUCAA